rnacentral:rRNA from 1 species
AGAGCGAACGCUGGCGGCAGGCCUAAUACAUGCAAGUCGAACGAAUCCUUCGGGAUUAGUGGCGGACGGGUGAGUAACACGUGGGAACGUGCCCUUUGGUUCGGAACAACUCAGGGAAACUUGAGCUAAUACCGAAUGUGCCCUUCGGGGGAAAGAUUUAUCGCCAUUGGAGCGGCCCGCGUCUGAUUAGCUAGUUGGUGAGGUAAAGGCUCACCAAGGCUACGAUCAGUAGCUGGUCUGAGAGGAUGAUCAGCCACACUGGGACUGAGACACGGCCCAGACUCCUACGGGAGGCAGCAGUGGGGAAUAUUGGACAAUGGGCGCAAGCCUGAUCCAGCCAUGCCGCGUGGAUGAUGAAGGCCUUAGGGUUGUAAAGUCCUUUCGACGGGGAAGAUAAUGACGGUACCCGCAGAAGAAGCCCCGGCUAACUUCGUGCCAGCAGCCGC